GCCGGGGUGGCUGAGUGGUUUAGGCGGCGGGCUGCAGACUCGCUAUACGCAGGUUCAAAUCCUGCCCCCGGCU
rnacentral:tRNA from 1 species